UUCACAAUGUAAGUCAUUCUAGCAUUUCCCACAUUUAUAUUGAUGUUGAUGAAUCUAGAUAGAUGUAUAUGUCUAGAUUCAUUAACAUCACUAUGAAUAUGAGAAAUGCUAGAAUGACUUACAUUAUGAA
rnacentral:misc_RNA from 1 species